rnacentral:rRNA from 1 species
UACGGAGGGUGCAAGCGUUAUCCGGAUUCACUGGGUUUAAAGGGUGCGUAGGCGGACAGGUAAGUCAGUGGUGAAAUCACUGGGCUUAACCCAGAAACUGCCGUUGAUACUAUUUGUCUUGAAUAUCCUGGAGGUAGGCGGAAUAUGUCAUGUAGCGGUGAAAUGCUUAGAUAUGACAUAGAACACCGAUAGCGAAGGCAGCUUACUACAGGAUGAUUGACGCUGAGGCACGAAAGCGUGGGGAGCAAACAGG